rnacentral:rRNA from 1 species
UACGGAAGGCAGCAGUGGGGAAUAUUGCACAAUGGGCGCAAGCCUGAUGCAGCCAUGCCGCGUGUAUGAAGAAGGCCUUCGGGUUGUAAAGUACUUUCAGUCGUGAGGAAGGUGUUAAGGUUAAUAACCUUAGCAAUUGACGUUAGCGACAGAAGAAGCACCGGCUAACUCCGUGCCAGCAGCCGCGGUAAUACGGAGGGUGCGAGCGUUAAUCGGAAUUACUGGGCGUAAAGGGCACGCAGGCGGUUAAUUAAGUUGGAUGUGAAAUCCCCGGGCUUAACCUGGGAAUGGCAUUCAAGACUGGUUAGCUAGAGUCUUGUAGAGGGGGUAGAAUUCCAUGUGUAGCGGUGAAAUGCGUAGAGAUGUGGAGGAAUACCGGUGGGCGAAGGCGGCCCCUGGGACAAAGACUGACGCUCAUGUGCGAAAGCGUGGGGAGCAAAC